CGGCCGCCUUCCACGCCCGAGGGCAUCGCGCUGGCCUACGGCAGCCUCCUGCUCAUGGCGCUGCUGCCCAUCUUCUUCGGCGCCCUGCGCUCCGUACGCUGCGCCCGCGGCAAGAAUGCUUCAGACAUGCCUGAAACAAUCACCAGCCGGGAUGCCGCCCGCUUCCCCAUCAUCGCCAGCUGCACACUCUUGGGGCUCUACCUCUUUUUCAAACCCCUUCAUGAAUAAGUUUUUUCCAGCCAGCUUUCCAAAUCGACAGUACCAGCUGCUCUUCACACAGGGUUCUGGGGAAAACAAGGAAGGUAUUUGGCACCAAUGUGAUGGUGACAGUGGCCAAGUCCUUCGAGGCACCAAUAAAAUUGGUGUUUCCCCAGGAUCUGCUGGAGAAAGGCCUCGAAGCAAACAACUUUGCCAUGCUGGGACUUGGAGAUGUCGUCAUUCCA
rnacentral:sRNA from 1 species